UCGGGACUCUUUUACGCUAGUGUCGGCAUCGCCGACUGGGAACGGGAAAUCCGGUGUAAGACCGGUGCUGCCCCCGCAACUGUAACGGGAUGACGGGUCAUUUACGGCAGGAACGCCUGCCACCCACUGAAGGAUGGGGUAACCCCCUUUGGGAAGGGAAAUGACCAACACGCCCGAAGCCAGGAAACCUGCCAGUGGUGAUGUGGGCCU
rnacentral:ncRNA from 2 species